AAGAAUGAGUGCAGCGAGCGCGGAUGUAAAAAUGAUGAAAUCGAAUUACUUGGAUCUUAAAAAUGGAACAGCAAAAUGUAAACUAUGUCAAAAAAUUAUUAAAACAAGUGGAAAUUCAACAAAUAUGUCGUCGCACAUAAAAAACAAGCACUAUGACACUUUUGUAAAGUGUAUGCAAAAAAAGGUUUCGAUGAAGUUUCGUGAAAACCAAACAAUUGAACAAUCAUUUCGAAACAUUGAAGCUUUAAAAGACAAUGGACAGAAGGCGAAUGAAAUAUAUGAAGCAAUUGUCUUCAUGAUUUGCAGAGACAACAUGCCUGUCCGGUGCGUGGAGAAAGAAGGUCUAACACACCUUCUUAAGAAAUGUGUCCCGCAAUUUAAAAUGCCUGGCCGGUCCAAGAUUACAACAAUGAUCGAAGAAAAAUACAGCAAAUCAGUGGAUGCUGUUAAAAAGAUUUUAAGCGAAGUGGAGGAUGUCGCAUUCACCUGCGACGCAGUGACUAUCACAAACUCAAGCCGAUCAUUUCUUACAAUAACUGCGCAUUUUAUAAAUAAGGAAUGUUUGGAAUCAAUUUGUUUAAUGGCAGCUAGAAUGGAUCAGUGUUCUGUGAAUUUUGGCCAUUUGUCACUUUGUUGUUAUUUUUACCACCUAAUAUAAGAAAACCAUACAUUUCUCAAAUUUAAUUUAGUCUCAUACCAGUGAGUACAUAAGCUCUUGGAGAAAGCGUGCGACGAUUUUAGCAUUGAUAAGUCUAAGUGUACAACACUGACCACGGAUAAUGCGAAUAAUAUGAAAGCCGCAUCAAGAUAUUUUCUUGGAAAUGGGAAACACAUUCCUUGCUUUGCGCAUACCAUCCACUUAGUGGUAGACGAUUCUGUGAAGGAGAUCGCAUCAUUUUGUAGUAUUUUGGACAAAGUUAAAAAAAUUGUUAUGCAUUUCAAGCACAGUCCUGCAUUAAUGGACGAGCUGCAAAAAGCUCAGGCUGAUGAGGGAAUUCCGGAAGGUUGCAUUAAGACCUUGCAGCAAAGCGUUGACACGCGAUGGAAUUCAUGUCUUGAAAUGCUGGUAUCCUUUUUAAGUCUUGCGAAUAAAGUGGCCAUCAUUUUAAUAAAGAGAUCUGAAAAAGUAAAAGGUUUGCCAGAAAUGCUAUCAACUGAUGAAUUAUCUACUUGCAAGGAUUUUUGUAGCCUUCUGAACCCAUUCAAAGAUGCAACUGAAAAAAUAAGCGGUGAAAAAUAUGUAACUGUCAGCAUGGUGAUCCCGUUAAUUUCACUUUUGCUAAAGAAAAUGCAGAUUGCAAAAGUAGAAUCUGCUGACGGCAUUCUUGCACAAGAUUCUCUUCACAAGCAAUUAGAGAAAAGGUGCAAGCCUCUUGAAUUAAAUAAAGUCUUAGUAAAGUCUUCAUUCCUCGAUCCAAGAUUUAAAAAGAUGUAUAUCUCGCCAAUCGGGGUACAAGAGGCGACUAAAGAUAUUUUACAAGAAUUGAUUACAUUUACUGAAGAAAAACUGAUUUCAGAUGACGAAAAUUCAGAUGACCAAGGUGAUAGCUUGGAAAAGGCGCACAAUAGGUCAAUUGUGAAAGUAGACGGUUCGGAAAAUAGGGAGCUAAAGAUGUAUCUCAGCUUGCCCCAAACUUCGUGGGAAAGUAACCCAAUAAUGUUUUGGAGUUCGUAUAAGGCAGCUAUGCCAGGACUUUCGAAGCUUGCCUUACGAUACCUUACAACCCCUGGUAGUUCAGUGCCUUCGGAGCGACUUGCUUCUGCAAUUAAAUGUGUUGUCUGUGACUCGCGAAGUCGUAUGACGGAUACACAUAAAACAGAACGGGUUUUUUUGAAAUCUUUAAACUCCAAAUACUGGAGUUAAACAUGCCUUUGAAUAUGCAAAAUGACAAAUUCCGUAUUAAGAAAAUCCGUAUUAAGAAAAUGCGUGUGAAGAAAAUCUGUAUUAAGAAAAUGCGUGUAAAGAAAAUCCGUAUUAAGAAAAUAAAUUGUU